ACUCCUACGGGAGGCAGCAGUAGGGAAUCUUCCACAAUGGGCGCAAGCCUGAUGGAGCAACACCGCGUGAGUGAAGAAGGGUUUCGGCUCGUAAAGCUCUGUUGUUAAAGAAGAACACGUAUGAGAGUAACUGUUCAUACGUUGACGGUAUUUAACCAGAAAGUCACGGCUAACUACGUGCCAGCAGCCGCGGUAAUACGUAGGUGGCAAGCGUUAUCCGGACUUAUUGGGCGUAAAGAGAGUGCAGGCGGUUUUCUAAGUCUGAUGUGAAAGCCUUCGGCUUAACCGGAGAAGUGCAUCGGAAACUGGAUAACUUGAGUGCAGAAGAGGGUAGUGGAACUCCAUGUGUAGCGGUGGAAUGCGUAGAUAUAUGGAAGAACACCAGUGGCGAAGGCGGCUACCUGGUCUGCAACUGACGCUGAGACUCGAAAGCAUGGGUAGCGAACAGGAUUAGAUACCCUGGUAGGAUAGCG
rnacentral:rRNA from 1 species